rnacentral:rRNA from 1 species
UACGGGGGGGCAAGCGUUGUUCGGAAUUACUGGGCGUAAAGGGCGCGUAGGCGGCGCGGUUAAGUCACUUGUGAAAUCUCUGAGCUUAACUCAGAACGGCCAAGUGAUACUGCAGUGCUAGAGUGCAGAAGGGGCAAUCGGAAUUCUUGGUGUAGCGGUGAAAUGCGUAGAUAUCAAGAGGAACACCAAUGGCGAAGGCAGCUCGCUGGAACGGUACUGACGCUGAGACG